AGCAGCCGCGGUAAUUCCAGCUCCAAUAGCGUAUAUUAAAGUUGUUGCAGUUAAAAAGCUCGUAGUUGAACUUCGGGGUCUACCCAUUGGUCAGGCUUAAUUGUCUGCACUGGUGAGAUGGAUCUCUACCUUCUGAGGAACUUUCAUGCCAUUUAUUUGGUGUGAUGGGAAAUCAGGACUGUUACUUUGAAAAAAUUAGAGUGUUUAAAGCAGACUAUCGUCUGAAUACAUUAGCAUGGAAUAAUGAAAUAGGACGGACUGAUUCUAUUUCGUUGGUUUCUAGGAUCACCGUAAUGAUUAAUAGGGAUAGUUGGGGGCAUUAGUAUUCAAUUGUCAGAGGUGAAAUUCUUGGAUUUAUUGAAGACUAACUACUGCGAAAGCAUUUGCCAAGGAUGUUUUCAUUAAUCAAGAACGAAAGUUAGGGGAUCGAAGACGAUCAGAUACCGUCGUAGUCUUAACCAUAAACUAUGCCGACUAGGGAUCGGACGAAGUAAUUUUAUAAUGACGCGUUCGGCACCUU
rnacentral:misc_RNA from 1 species